rnacentral:rRNA from 1 species
CCUACGGGUGGCAGCAGUGGGGAAUAUUGGGCAAUGGGCGCAAGCCUGACCCAGCAACGCCGCGUGAAGGAAGAAGGCUCUCGGGUUGUAAACCUCUUUUGUCAGGGACGAAGCAAGUGACGGUACCUGACGAAUAAGCCACUGCUAACGACGUGACAGCAGCCGCGGUAAGACGUAGGUGGCAAGCGUUAUCCGGAUUUACUGGGUGUAAAGGGCGUGUAGGCGGGGGAGCAAGUCAGAUGUGAAACCCACGGGCUCAACCUGUGGCCUGCCUUUGAAACUGUUGUGCUUGAGUGCAGGAGAGGCAAGCGGAAUUCCGGGUGUAGCGGUGAAAUGCGUAGAUAUUAGGAGGAACACCAGUGGCGAAGGCGGAUUACUGGACUGUAACUGACGCUGAGGCGCGAAAGCGUGGGGAGCAAACAGGAUUAGAUACCCCAGUAGUC